GACAGAGGGUGCAACCGUUGUUCGGAAUUACGGGGCGUAAAGCGCGUGUAGGCGGCUCUGCAAGUCAGGUGUGAAAUCCCACGGCUCAACCAUGGAAGUGCACUUGAAACUGCAGGGCUAGAGUCCUGGAGAGGAAGGUGGAAUGCUUGGUGUAGAGGUGAAAUUCGUAGAUAUCAAGCGGAACACCGGUGGCGAAGGCGGCCUUCUGGACAGUGACUGACGCUGAGACGCGAAAGCGUGGGGAGCAAACAGG
rnacentral:rRNA from 1 species